rnacentral:rRNA from 1 species
GUAGGGAAUAUUGCGCAAUGGACGAAAGUCUGACGCAGCGACGCCGCGUGAGUGAUGAAGGCCUUAGGGUCGUAAAGCUCUGUUGAAUGGGAAGAAAAAAAUGACGGUACCAUUCGAGGAAGGACCGGCUAACUUCGUGCCAGCAGCCGCGGUAAUACGAGGGGUCCUAGCGUUGUUCGGAAUCAUUGGGCGUAAAGGGUGUGUAGGUGGCCAUGUAAGUCAGGUUUGAAAGCCCCGGGCUCAACCCGGGAAGUGCACUUGAUACUGCGUGGCUUGAGUACCGAAGAGGGUAGUGGAAUUCCAGGUGUAGUGGUGAAAUACGUAGAUAUCUGGAGGAACACCGGUGGCGAAGGCGGCUACCUGGUCGAGUACUGACACUGAGACACGAAAGCAUGGGGAUCAAACAGGAUUAGAAACCCUGGUAGUCC